ACAGCAGUCGCCACGGGAAAACGAAGGGGGCUGGCGUUGCUCGGAAUGACUGGGCGUAAAGGGCGCGUAGGCGGAUUGUUUAGUUAGGCGUGAAAUUCCUGGGCUUAACCUGGGGGCUGCGUUUGAUACUUGGUUGCUUGAGUGGGGAAGAGGGUCGUGGAAUUCCCAGUGUAGAGGUGAAAUUCGUAGAUAUUGGGAAGAACACCGGUGGCGAAGGCGGCGACCUGGUCCUUUACUGACGCUGAGGCGCGAAAGCGUGGGGAGCAAACAGGAUUAGAUACCCGCGUAGUCCCUGUCUCUUAUAC
rnacentral:rRNA from 1 species